UCCGGUUGAUCCUGCCGGAGGCCACUGCUAUGGGGGUCCGACUAAGCCAUGCGAGUCAAGGGGGCGUCCCUUCUGGGACGCCACCGGCGGACGGCUCAGUAACACGUCGGUAACCUACCCUCGGGAGGGGGAUAACCCCGGGAAACUGGGGCUAAUCCCCCAUAGGCCUGGGGUACUGGAAGGUCCCCAGGCCGAAAGGGAGCCGUAAGGCUCCGCCCGAGGAUGGGCCGGCGGCCGAUUAGGUAGUUGGUGGGGUAACGGCCCACCAAGCCGAAGAUCGGUACGGGCCGUGAGAGCGGGAGCCCGGAGAUGGACACUGAGACACGGGUCCAGGCCCUACGGGGCGCAGCAGGCGCGAAACCUCCGCAAUGCGGGAAACCGCGACGGGGGGACCCCCAGUGCCGUGCCUCUGGCACGGCUUUUCCGGAGUGUAAAAAGCUCCGGGAAUAAGGGCUGGGCAAGGCCGGUGGCAGCCGCCGCGGUAAUACCGGCGGCCCGAGUGGUGGCCACUAUUAUUGGGCCUAAAGCGGCCGUAGCCGGGCCCGUAAGUCCCUGGCGAAAUCCCACGGCUCAACCGUGGGGCUCGCUGGGGAUACUGCGGGCCUUGGGACCGGGAGAGGCCGGGGGUACCCCCGGGGUAGGGGUGAAAUCCUAUAAUCCCGGGGGGACCGCCAGUGGCGAAGGCGCCCGGCUGGAACGGGUCCGACGGUGAGGGCCGAAGGCCAGGGGAGCGAACCGGAUUAGAUACCCGGGUAGUCCUGGCUGUAAAGGAUGCGGGCUAGGUGUCGGGCGAGCUUCGAGCUCGCCCGGUGCCGUAGGGAAGCCGUUAAGCCCGCCGCCUGGGGAGUACGGCCGCAAGGCUGAAACUUAAAGGAAUUGGCGGGGGAGCACUACAAGGGGUGGAGCGUGCGGUUUAAUUGGAUUCAACGCCGGGAACCUCACCGGGGGCGACGGCAGGAUGAAGGCCAGGCUGAAGGUCUUGCCGGACGCGCCGAGAGGAGGUGCAUGGCCGCCGUCAGCUCGUACCGUGAGGCGUCCACUUAAGUGUGGUAACGAGCGAGACCCGCGCCCCCAGUUGCCAGUCCCUCCCGCUCGGGAGGGAGGCACUCUGGGGGGACUGCCGGCGAUAAGCCGGAGGAAGGGGCGGGCGACGGUAGGUCAGUAUGCCCCGAAACCCCCGGGCUACACGCGCGCUACAAUGGGCGGGACAAUGGGUGCCGACCCCGAAAGGGGGAGGUAAUCCCCUAAACCCGCCCUCAGUUCGGAUCGCGGGCUGCAACUCGCCCGCGUGAAGCUGGAAUCCCUAGUACCCGCGCGUCAUCAUCGCGCGGCGAAUACGUCCCUGCUCCUUGCACACACCGCCCGUCACUCCACCCGAGCGGGGCCUAGGUGAGGCCCGAUCUCCUUCGGGAGGUCGGGUCGAGCCUAGGCUCCGUGAGGGGGGAGAAGUCGUAACAAGGUAGCCGUAGGGGAACCUACGGCUC
rnacentral:rRNA from 2 species